rnacentral:rRNA from 1 species
UCGCUCUUCAACGAGGAAUCCCUAGUAAGCACAAGUCACCAGCUUGUGCUGAUUACGUCCCUGCCCUUUGUACACACCGCCCGUCGCUACUACCGAUUGAAUGGCUUAGUGAGGCCCUCGGAUCGACUUUCUGAGACUGGCAACAGUCUUUGAUUGUUGAGAAGUUGGUCAAACUUGGUCAUUUAGAGGAAGUAAAAGUCGUAACAAGGUUUCCGUAGGUGAACCUGCGGAAGGAUCAUUAUUAUUUGGAUAGGGUUUAGCACUAAUUCGUCCUCUGUUGUAUUUGGUGGUAAACCUCUUCCAAAUAUAUUGUUACUCUUUUUUUUUAAAAAAAGGAGCAAGAUGAUAUAUAUUUAAAACCCAACUCUUAUAUAUAAAAUAUGUAUAUUUUUGAAUAAUAAAAUUAAAGAUCACUUUCAACAACGGAUCUCUUGGCUCUCGCAUCGAUGAAGAACGUAGCGAAGUGCGAUAAGUAAUGUGAAUUGCAGAAUUCCGUGAAUCAUCGAAUCUUUGAACGCAAAUUGCACUUUCUGGUAUUUCGGAAAGUAUGCCUGUUUGAGGGUCAGUUAAAUAAAAAUCGGUGUUGUUGCUGCUAUUAGUGGUGAUGCAUCGGAAUUGAGUUGUUCUUUUGCCCUUUGGUAUAAGUGACUUAAAAUUUGUACGAUUUUUUGAACGUAUUUAAAUUAUUUACGUACGUUUAUAAUAUCAUAUAUUAGGUGCGGUCAUUCUUAUGAUUUCGCGCCUAUAAUUUUUUCAUUAUUUGACCUCAAAUCAGGUAAGAAUACCCGCUGAACUUAAGCAUAUCAAUAAGCGGAGGAAAAGAAACUAACAAGGAUUCCCUCAGUAACGGCGAGUGAAGCGGGAAGAGCUCAAAUUUGAAAUCUGGCGCCUUCGGCGCCCGAGUUGUAAGCUAGAGAGGCGUUUUCGGCGGGCACUCGAGUAUAAGUCCUUUGGAACAGGGCAUCAUAGAGGGUGAGAAUCCCGUCUUUGACUCGAAGCAGCCUGCUAUGUGAUACGUCUUCAAAGAGUCGGUUUGUUUGGGAAUGCAGACCAAAAUGGGUGGUAAAUUCCAUCUAAAGCUAAAUACAGGCGAGAGACCGAUAGCGAACAAGUACCGUGAGGGAAAGAUGAAAAGAACUUUGAAAAGAGAGUUAAACAGUACGUGAAAUUGUUGAAAGGGAACCGUUUGGAAUCAGUCUUGUCGGCGAGAAAUCAGCCUGGCCUUGGCCGGGUGCACUUUCUCGUCGGCAGGUCAGCGUCAGUUUUGGCUGCCAGAAAAAGGCCAAGGGAAUGUGGCUCUUCGGAGUGUUAUAGCCCUUGGUCAACGUGGUGGCCGGGACUGAGGCCCGCAGCCAGCCGGUUCUUCCGGCGGGGGGCUCGUACGCUAGCUGCAGGGCCGCCGUGGGACAGCUUGCUGACCACGACGGGAUUUGCAGCUACUCGUAGGAAGCCUCUCCUCCUGGCUAAGGUCGCUGACUUAAUGAUUCCAAAUGACCCGUCUUGAAACACGGACCAAGGAGUCUAACAUGUAUGCGAGUGUU